GGCUUUUGAAGCUAGUGGUAUGACUAUUCCUGGUACAGAGAUAGGGCCUGUUGUGACUGCUGAAAUUCCAACCAAGGUGAUUACCCCUCAAGAAUUAUUUGAUGACGUAGAGUAUGAAGAAAUUUUGGAAGACAUGAAGAAGGAGGCCAAAAAUUUGGUGACUUGAUUGAUGUUGUUAUUCCUCGGCCAGAACCUGAUCAAAAAAUGGUGAUGGUUUUGGGAAGGUAAUAAUGUUGUCACUUUUACGUGUCCGAGCUUUAAAAAUUAAUUCGAUUUUGUUAUGCUGAGCAAUUGUUGUAUCUGUGCUGUGUGUUCUGCAAAUAU
rnacentral:misc_RNA from 1 species